UACGUAGGGGGCUAGCGUUGUCCGGAAUUAUUGGGCGUAAAGAGCUCGUAGGCGGCUCGUCACGUCGGCUGUGAAAACCCGGGGCUCAACCCCGGGCCUGCAGUCGAUACGGGCGAGCUAGAGUUCGGCAGGGGAGACUGGAAUUCCUGGUGUAGCGGUGAAAUGCGCAGAUAUCAGGAGGAACACCGGUGGCGAAGGCGGGUCUCUGGGCCGACACUGACGCUGAGGAGCGAAAGCGUGGGGAGCGAACAGG
rnacentral:rRNA from 1 species